CAUUUCCAUAAAAAGAUACAAUGACUUUUCAGAUUUAUCCAUAUUUAAUCGACUUAUCGUAUAACGAAGAAUUCGCGUCGAACUUUGUAUACGCUCUUUCAUGAGAGUUAAAUCACUUAAAUCGAAACACGCAGUUUUUAUGAAUGUAUUCAUAAAACGCCACACACGUAAGGGAUCGAAAACAUGGACUAGGUUUCGCUCAAUAUACUGUGUAUUUAGUGCCCACUUACUCGGUAUUUUAAAUUUAAACGAUAAAUUUAAACGUCCCGUUAUUCUUGCGAAAUCACCUCGACGAAGACUACGCUUUCUGUUCGUUUUUUCAACUUGUUUAUAUCCUCGGACAAGGAUGAGUGGGAAAGCUUCCGGAAAAAAUAAGCAAACCGCAAGCUCGUUAUCACUCCAAAAUCACGAUAAUUACACUAUUAGAUAUAUACAUGUAUGCGGUUCGAUAAGCAGCGUUCCUGAUAAAGUUUCUCGUAGCUUGUAAACACAGAUCCAAACCUAACAAAUAAAUCCCAGCCAGUAGAAGUAAAA